AAAAUAAACUGCACAACUUAAAAAGAAUUCAAGUUAUUACAAACUUAGAUGACUCUAUUACAAAUACAAAUACAAAGGAAAUCUCUCCUUUUCACCAGAAUUAUGUUUAUGGACCUAGUUUUCAUAAAAGGGAAUACCCUACAAUGAAUCAUAGGAACAAUGUUAAAUUGGGGGAAUUUGUUCCUAGCCAAGAACCAGACAUCAAAUAAACUAUACCUAUGACUCAAGGAGCCCGUCACAAAAUCAAAGAUAUAACAACUAUAAAUAUCUUUGAUAAUUUAAAAUAGCAAAAUUGCGAUUCAAAUCCUAAAAAAAAAAAAAAAACAAACAAAAAAAAAAAAGAGGAAAUAACUAGACUAACUGCAAUGAUUUCCCUGUAUCUAGCCAAGCAUAUUUCAACAGAUCCAUGACCUCACUGAGGUGAGCACCAUCUCCAUUCCUAUAGAUCACCAUCCUAUCCACACUGUUUAAAAAUAUCCUGUUCAAUGUUAGUCCAUUCACAAAUUCUCUCCAGACUUUUAUGUUUUUGACAAACGUGAGCAUUUCCAUAACAAAAAAACAGAAAAAGAGGGCUGUAUACAUUAGUUCCAAAACAGUCCUGUUUGUUCUCUUCUGUUCCCUUUUCUUGACAUUUCAAUUUCUUUCUUCCUUCCCUUAUCACCAUCUCCAAAUUAAAUAAGAGUUAAACAAAAGACAUUCACACACCGACCGAGGAUCAAUCUGUCCCUUGCCUCCUUUACUCCUUCGCUGGGAUGUUUCAUUACCAGUGGUCACUGCAUCGAUAAGCAUUCUUAGUCUUCCAAAGUUCUUUUCUUUUUAGUGUUGCUGUUAUUUAUAAAUUGUUCUGGUUCCCUUCACUCUCAAUUCUUUUUCCCAGGUUUCUCUGAAAGUGUCCCUUUCAUCAUUCAUAAGACAUAAUUUGUUCACUCACUCCCCAACUACUAGGCAGUCUAUUCUAUAUCCAGUUCUCUAUGAAAAAAGCUACUACAAAUAUUUUUAUACAGAUGAGUCCUUUUCCUUUUAUCUUUUAGGAAGUUUUUGCCUAGUAGUGAUAUUAAUGAACCAAAGAGUAUGCUGUUUAUUGGAUCUUUUUUGCUUAGAAAUUCUUCAUAAAAGAUCCACCUAAAUCAUUACAGCACACUUGUUUUUAAACUAUUUUUAACUGAAUUUCAAUAAUUGGUUUUUUUUUGUAAUCUUGCUUAUUUAAACUUUUUUUCUUUUUGAUGAGGUGACUGGGGUUAGAUGACUUAGCCAGGCUACAAGAUUAGGAAGUAUUAAGUGUCUGAGGCCGGAUCUAAACUUAGGUCCUUUUAAUUUCAGGGCUGGUGCUCUAUUCACUGCAUUUAAUUAAUUUAAAAACAUUAUUCUGAGGAGUUCAUAUGCUGUCAAAAGGGCCCAAUAUGCAAAAAAAAUUAAGUAUACUUGCAUUAGAAGCCUUUCUCUGGUCUUUUAACAUUAUAAUGGUAGUUUAUCGAUGUUACCUCUUACUCUUGCUAUGGGAAUGCUCUGCCUCAAUUUUUUUUUUUUAAAUUUUUUAUUUAAUAAUUACUUUAUAUUGACACUCGUUUCUGUUCCGAUUUUUUUCCCCCCUCCCUCUCUCCACCCCCUCCCCUAGAUGGCAAGCAGUCCUUUAUAUGUUGGAUAUGUUGCAGUAUAUCCUAGAUACAAUAUAUGUUUGCAGAACCGAACAGUUCUCUUGUUGCUUAGGGAGAAUUGGAUUCAGAAGGUAUAAAUAACCCGGGAAGAAAAACAAAAAUGCAGAUAGUUUACAUUCGUUUCCCAGUGUUCUUUCUUUGGGUGAAGCUGCUUUUGUCCGUCAUUUAUCAAUUGAAACUCAGCUCUCUUUGUCAAAGAAAUCCACUUCCAUCAAAAUAUGUCCUCAUACAAUAUCGUUGUCGAAGUGUAUAAUGAUCUCCUGGUUCUGCUCAUUUCACUUAGCAUCAGUUCAUGUAAGUCUCGCCAGUCCUCUCUGUAUUCAUCCUGCUGGUCAUUUCUUACAGAACAAUAAUAUUCCAUAACAUUCAUAUACCACAAUUUACCCAGCCAUUCUCCAAUUGAUGGGCAUCCAUUCAUUUUCCAGUUUCUAGCCACUACAAACAGGGCUGCUACAAACAUUUUGGCACAUACAGGUCCCUUUCCCUUCUUUAGUAUUUCUUUGGGAUUCUGCCUCAAUUUUUAACAUUUCCUUGAUAAUUUUUUUCAACUUUUUUUUUUUUUUGCAUGAGAGUCAACAUUAGGAAUAUUUAUAUCCACUGUAUACUCCUUUCUUUUGGGUCACCCAUAGCUUUGAUUCUUCAGAGACAGUGAUGUUCUACAAUUUGCAGUGACAAAACAAGACUGAAAAAUACUAUUAACAAGAUGGCCCUGUAGAAAGCUGGAGCAUUGAUCAAGCAGCAAAAUGUCAUCCAAAAAUACAAGCAUAUGAAGAAUUUCACUACCAACAGAGAAUUCUUCUUCUGUUUAAGAUUCUACAUGGGGAAUUCUUCCAUGACCAUGAUAAAAUGGCACUUGUAUGAUUAUGUCUGUUGGUUUUAUUCUUAGUUUGAUUUUGGUAAUGUAUGUGUCACCUAACAAAGUCCUCUGUCAUUAAAUCUAUCUAGGAAUCUCACAUGAUCUUAACAUACACAGGAAUUAGGAGAAAGUUGUAUCCUUUUAAAGAAGGUAUACUUUGUUCAAAUAAGGUGUUUUUUUUUUCUUACAAAGGAAUAAACAAAUGAUGAGAUACUACUUUUUCAUUUCAGCUAUUAGUGUGAAUAUUGUGAUGUGCCUCUUUAUUUUUCAGGUUUUUAUCAAGGACACUUUUGAUACACUUAUAGCAUAUGUUAAAAGAUUUUUUAAAAAAGAAAACAUUAGUAUGUUUGUUUCUGUUGUAGGGCAUUGUUCAGCUACAAAUACUAUAAUUUUAUAGUGUUUGGUUUGUGGUCACUAUGAUCCUUCUUAUGAUACUUAUGAGAUGAGAUGAGAUUUGUUUCUAAUGCUUGUUAAAUGUGUCUCAGAAGUUUUGUAACCAUAAGAGCUAUCUUUCUUCUUAACAAUGUAAAUUAAUUUAUAUUACUACACGAUGUAAAAAUAUACAUAAACAUUUUAUAAUACCUUGCUGUAUUAAGAGUUGAGGCCUUUCACCCCCUCCAACUUAGGAUCCUUAUUCAUUGGAAAUUAUUUUUUACUUCCUAGAAAAUUUGAUUAAGUAUUCCUAUGCAGAAUGUGAAAAGUUUCAGUCCUGGGUCCUCUUUUCUUUCCCCUCAUAAUCUCAUGGGUUUAAGUAUUGUCUUAUGCAGAUUGAGGCCCAGUGUCUCUCUUGAGCUCUAGUCCCAUAUCACUAACUGCUUAUUGGACAUAGAUAUCCCACGGACAUCUCAAAUUUAAUAUGCUCACAAAAGAACUCAUUAUCUUUCCCUCAAAUCUACUUUUCUUCUGAGCUUCCCUAUUACUAUAGACUAUAUCCCCCCCUCUUCUCCAGUCAAGUCUUCUCCAUAGUUCAGAUACUUACCUCCUGUUUGAGCUUCCUGUCUCAAAUCUUUUCUCACUCAAAUCAUGAUUAUAUCACCACCCUCCAGGCCCCCAUUUUAUAAAUUUCAAUGAUCCAUUUUUACCUCUAAGAUCAAACACUAACAGCUCUUGUUAGGCAUUUAAAAUUCUUUACCACCUGAUCCCUUCCUAUUUCUUUGGUCUCCUCACAAGUUAUUCCCUUCUAUGAAUUUUAUGGUCCAUUUAGAGGAGUCCCCUUACUGCUCCCGAGAAAUACAUUCCUGUCUCUAUGCAUGUCUCCUGUGCUUUCCCUCCCACUUUGUGAUUACUAGAUUUCUUUAUAAUUCAUCUCAAAGCACCACAUUCUACAUGGCCUUUCUUGGUUCCCCCCUUUUCUCUUCUUAUUCAAGGUAUUCCUAAAUACAUGUUAUCUCUUCAGUUUGAAUUUAAGGUUCUUAAAAUCACGGACUUUUUCUACUUUUGUCUUUGCACUUGCAGUGCUUAACAUGACUAGGACAUAAAAAGCCAAUCACAAAUACUUGCUAACUGUUCAAUGAUUGAAAAGUUGUAAAAAAAAAAACUCCAUUAAAAAGACUUUGAUCUUUCAGUGGAGAAAACAGCUCAAGGUCAAUUUUUUUUAUGGCACUGAUAGGCAGAACUCUCUAGGUGUAUGCAUAACCACACACAUUAUCUGUAUAUUUACUUUUUUGCCUCAAAUAGUCUGGGGAAAGAGGCAUUCCAAUCCUAUGUUUUUCAUUCUUUUCAAUCAACUAUAAUGCUCAAAAACUCCAAAGCAUAGUCUGGAAAUGUAGGUAAAGAGAUAUUACUUUGUUUCCCCAUCAAUCAGACAGACCAUCUUUUUCAGCUCAUUUAAAAAACAAGAAUAUCAUUAAGAUACAGAAGAUAUGGGUGGUUAUUUGGGUAUGUGUUACUCCCCCUUGUCCCCCAAUCUAGAAGAACACUUGAAAUUAUAGCAUCCUUCCUGUCUCCAACUGACUAUAAGGAAUAACCUUUAAAAUUUUUGUUUGCAUAUAUAAGUUUCAUGUAUGUAGUUUUUUCUUAUCUCUAUCUUGAAUUCUAAUUUACUACAUAACCAAUUUUCUGGAGGAAUCUUUGCCAACAAAUAAAGAAAUGAAAUAGGUGACAAAA